ensembl:lncRNA
AUGUGUCAUGAUUCACAUAGUCAUCACCGAAAGGGUUGGUCUGAGCAGACUAUAAAUGAGCUUUCAUUUACCAGCUUUUCAGUUUCCAAGAUCCUUCAAAGCAACUUCUUUAAGAAAAGAACUUUUUAUUACAAUUACAAAAAAGGUCCUGGGGCAGGAGUUCAUCUGAUGGACAGGUCUACUGAUCUGAGAGGUAUAAAUGUAGGCCGGCAUACAGAUCCUCUCUAUCAAAGAGAAAGUGGUGUCUUAGGGGCUCCUGCCCCAGGAACUACAAAAAUAAAAAAAAAACAUGAGCUCUUCACCAGAAAACUCUGACCUUGGUUCACAGAGAACUGGCAAGAUUCACCUAAUGAAGAAGGCUUUGCAGGAUGCAAAGAAUCUGGAUGAUUCGUGGAUAAAAGAAGAAAGUGACACUAUCGAACUUAUUGAUUUG